UAAUACAUGCAUGUCGAGCGGGAGUAGCAAUACUCUAGCGGCAAAUGGGUGAGUAACACGUGCUUAAUCUACCUUUUAGAUUGGAAUACCCAAUGGAAACAUUGGUUAAUGCCGGAUAAGUAUGAAAUCGCAUGAUUUCGUUAUGAAAGAAGCGUUUGCUUCACUAAGAGAUGAGGGUGCGGAACAUUAGCUAGUUGGUGAGGUAAUGGCCCACCAAGGCUAUGAUGUUUAGCCGGGUCGAGAGACUGAACGGCCACAUUGGGACUGAGAUACGGCCCAAACUCCUACGGGAGGCAGCAGUAGGGAAUAUUCCACAAUGAGCGAAAGCUUGAUGGAGCGACACAGCGUGCACGAUGAAGGCCCUCGGGUUGUAAAGUGCUGUUGCAAGGGAAGAAAAAGCAGUUGAGGAAAUGCAACUGAACUGACGGUACCUUGUUAGAAAGCGAUGGCUAACUAUGUGCCAGCAGCCGCGGUAAUACAUAGGUCGCAAGCGUUAUCCGGAAUUAUUGGGCGUAAAGCGUUCGUAGGCUGUUUAUUAAGUCUGGAGUCAAAUCCCAGGGCUCAACCCUGGCUCGCUUUGGAUACUGGUAAACUAGAGUUGGAUAGAGGUAAGCGGAAUUCCAUGUGAAGCGGUGAAAUGCGUAGAUAUAUGGAAGAACACCAAAGGCGAAGGCAGCUUACUGGGUCUAUACUGACGCUGAGGGACGAAAGCGUGGGGAGCAAACAGGAUUAGAUACCCUGGUAGUCCACGCCGUAAACGAUGAUCAUUAGUCGGUGGCCAAUCACUGACGCAGCUAACGCAUUAAAUGAUCCGCCUGAGUAGUAUGCUCGCAAGAGUAAAACUUAAAGGAAUUGACGGGGACCCGCACAAGCGGUGGAGCAUGUGGUUUAAUUUGAGGAUACGCGGAGAACCUUACCCACUCUUGACAUCCUUCGCAAAGCUAUAGAGAUAUAGUGGAGGUUAACGGAGUGACAGAUGGUGCAUGGUUGUCGUCAGCUCGUGUCGUGAGAUGUUUGGUCAAGUCCUGCAACGAGCGCAACCCCUAUCUUUAGUUACUAACGAGUCAUGUCGAGGACUCUAGAGAUACUGCCUGGGUAACUGGGAGGAAGGUGGGGAUGACGUCAAAUCAUCAUGCCUCUUACGAGUGGGGCUACACACGUGCUACAAUGGUCGGUACAAAGAGAAGCAAUAUGGUGACAUGGAGCAAAUCUCAAAAAGCCGAUCUCAGUUCGGAUUGGAGUCUGCAA
rnacentral:rRNA from 2 species